AAUAGACUUGCCCAAUGCCAGGUUGCCACAAACCUUCAAUUUGUUUAAAAAAAAAAAAAAGGCAGUAGACAGUAUCUAGGAUGUGCAAUAAAGGGAAAUGCAAUAAAACAAGGUAUGCCUGUAUAUCGAACAACUGGUUCAGCCCAGGUGUUGAUCAACAAGAAUUGUUCUCUGCCUAUAAACAGCCAUGAAGACAGCCAUGCACACAGAGCGCGUUACCUUGGAGAAGCAUGGCAGCCAGCCAGAGAGUUGGCAUUUGCAGGCAACAUUCGGAAGAUAUGCUGACUUGUAUACUCGAUAAAAACAGAACUGUCUGUAAAUGCUAAAGGACUUUUGAGUCAGUGCAACUGCUUCGUGUGGAUUUAUGGACUUCACACUGACAGUGCCCAGCACAUGCUUUGUCCUUAAGAAAGGCAUGGGUCAGGGUGUCCUCUCUUGGCCCAUGAGGACACCUUGGUUCUCACCUCUCCCCGACUUCAACCCUCUGGACUCUACAACUAAGGCUUCUUCAGUUUGGUCCAUUUUUUUGUACUAAAACAUACCCUCCAAAAAGUGAUUUGGAGGCUUGUGCAAUUUGUUCUCAGCAUGUAGGGUCAACAAGGUCUAUUCUUAAUCCCUGUCAGUUGGAAAGAAAAACAAUAAAGGAAAAGUGUCCAGCCAGCCAGUGAUGAUUAUAUAUGACUCUUGAAUGAAAUGUGGGUAUGUUAGAACUGUUCCCAAUGUGUGUUCCUGGAUCUUCUGCCUACUUUCAAUCCCCAGGUUUGAUUCCAGGACACCCCCAUGAGACCUACAGAAUGGGAACCUUUAGCUAAAAAGACCAAUACUCUACUUUUUAAAAUAAGCUUUGCAAACUUGAGGCCUAGGAGCAUUUGGUCAUUCUGCCCAAAGACUUGGCCUUUCCUUGAACAGAUUUCUUAACGAUGAAAUCUUGAAAAUUCAAAACAUUAGCUUUCUUAGUCACCUUCAUAGUGGAAUUUAAUCACAGACAAAACAGAUAUGAGAUAAAGAAGUAAAUACUGGCCCAAAUAUCACUGAAUACAAGGCUGAUUGCUGGUUACGGUCCUGGAGGACAAACGAUUCCUCUGCUUCUGUGUCAUUCAGUCCAGUCAACAUUGAUUAUUCCUAUGAUAGAAAAUCAAGGAUAGAUGAUAUCGCAGAAGAGAUAAUCGAGGAUGUUUCAGGCUGAUCUCUGGAAUGCACUCAAGGUCACAGUGUGACUCAGGCACUUGGUCUCACUGUGUCCCUGGCUUUGGCUCCUCUUCAGACUCUCACAAACUCAGCAGAUAGGAAGGCGUCAUGGAUGAAAGAGUCCUGUUCAACCCAGAUCUAUUUACGAUAUAAACAUCAAGGCCAGGUGCGGUGGCUCACUCCUGUAAUCCCAACACUUUGGGAAGAAUGAAAUGGAGGAAGAGGGAAAUAAUUUCCAUGUCUGUUCUUACCCAUCAGGAUUAUUGGGAGGAAAAAUAUACAACACCAUAAAUGAAAACCAUUUUGAAAACCUUAUACCACUCUCCGGAUGCUGGGGAUCAGCUGCACAUGUAAGAGGUGCCCCGUGGACACUAAUGACUCAUUGCUCUGGGAAGUCUACAGGUUGUAGGAAACAGUCUUAAGUUCUGAAAAAGAAAAUUACACUGGCCCUAAUCAAUAGCUAGGAUCCCUUCUGAGACGCCCCUUCCCCGUGGCAUCAUGGAGGCGGGAGGAGGGCCAGGCUAUAUUUCAAAGCCCCCCUCCUUCUCUUCCCUCUUUUUCCCUAGGCUGCCAGAAUCUUAGAUUGUAGUGCAAGAACAACCAUAUUGCUGGAAGUGAAAUUUGCAGUCUGCUCUAUCAGAUGGUUUCUGCGCAUGGUCUGUUACUAUGUUCAAAGCAUUAAACUGCCUGAAAGUGGAUUAUUUACAGAGCUUCUCUCUUCCCAGAGCUGCUGAUAGGUGGCAAUUCAGCCUCUUCACCCUAAUGCACACUUCCUCACUUUCCACCGAGACUCUUUGUUUGCUGACAGCAUCUGGCUAUCCUGGGUACUUGCCGCAGCUGGCACAGUUCUCUCCAAUCCCUAGAAGAAACAGCCUUCACCUACACACCAGGGAUGAAAUAAGAUUUCAGCUCAAAGCUAGCAACCUUUCUCUGAAAUGGUGUCACACCCAGACAGAAAAAUAAAUGUGCGUUUCUUCUUAGAUGAUGAGAAGUCAGUCUUUCAGGCAGACUUUUGACCCAGGGAGGAUCAAGGUUUGACUGCCUUUGAGUAAUCCUUGCAGAAAAAACAGCACCUAAUUGGACAAAGGAAGAAAGGAACCAGCUGCUACUGUCAUGAUUAUUUAAACACCCAUCCACAGUCAAAAACACUGCAUUGUUUCAUUACAAGUGAAAUUUGAUUGCCACUACAUUUCCUGCUGGCCUCCCCUCUAUGCAAAUUGGGGAGAAGAAAGACAUUCAUAAGGCAUCAGAACCCAUUUGGCUUCUAAAUGUACUGUUUGCAUAUAGACAUCAGCAGCCUGAAUAAAUCCUAGCAAGGAAUGUCAAACAAACAACGCUGGCUAUUUUUCUAUUGUUCUCCCUGAAAACAUCGUUUUUAACACGUUCACAAAGGCAAGCUGGAUUCUGUUUUAUCAGUGUUUUAGUAAAAGACAAGUGGCAUGGUGGUUCAGUUGUGGGUAUUGGACAUUAACGAAAACCAUUCUGGGAGAGUUCAGUUUAUAAAAGAUUAAAAUAACUCAUCGACUUGCAAAAAAAUUGUUCUAACCCUCUCUGUUGACAGUCAAUGUUUGUGCUGAGGGCUGAGUAUUAUAUAAUAAUUUGUACAGCAGUUUAUAGUGCCUAAAACAUUUCUGCCUUGGGUCUGUCAGAGGACAUGCCCAAGGAUGCCAUUAGUGAGGCAAGGGCAGUUUCCUUAUCCUCAUCCUGCAGAUGAGAAAGCCAGAUCUUAGAAAGAUGGGGACUUUUUAUUGUCACAGAACAUGUCCCACCCCUGUGCAUUCACCUUGCAAUGCAGAUUCCUCCUCAUCCUUCGAAACCCAAAUACAUCUCCCCUUUUCUGUAGUAUUUCCUGUUCCCUCCACCCCCGCUGCCACCACCACCACUGCAGAGGAAAUUGUUAAUUCAUUUAUCCAGAAUCAGUGAAAAACCACUGUGUCAUGGGAGGAGACGCAGCAAUGUCAAGGUCAUCGUGGGUCCCGUGACAAGGUGAAAUCUCUCCUCAGGGGAAGCAAAGAUGGAGACAGUGCCCUUGUGUAACACAAACCCAACUGGGCUCUCUCUGUGAGCUCAAACUGGGAACCUUAAGAUGGAGAAGAGCCAGAUGGGGUUCUUCUGCAUGGGAUCCUGCCUCUGCCACAGCCCCUGUAUCUGCUGACAGCAUCUCUUCUGGUGCUUCUCCACAAUGUGAGACCCUCGAGAACAGGGACCAUUUCUCUACCAGGGACCAGUGAAAGCCUAGCACAGGACGGUGACCCGUCAUUGCUUCCUGAAUGCACCUCUAGCAUAGUGAUCCUGCCAGGUCACCAGAAAACAAGGCCAGAGCUCACAGGUCUAACUCCUGACUUGGCACAACUUCUUCCCUAGGCUGCCUUAUGGUGAUAGCAGCAACAGCCCAUCUAGAGUGGCUGCUGCCAAGACACUGGCUGUAGUGGGAAGGUGUGGCUGGGUCUCCCACUCCAGGGAGCAGGCAGGAGCCCCACUUCCCCCAGUGCUGCUGCAACUGCACCAGGGUGUCUCUGUGCCUUGGGGGCCCAGGAAGGCCCCCCUGCCCCCAACAGGCUUGGAAGUGCCUGCUCCCAUUGCCUGACCUCUCCCUGCUCCCAGUGCCUGCUCUGAUCAUAGAGCAAGGUUGGGGCCGAGCCUGGGUACUGUCGCAUCCCGGCCAGGUGGACGCAUGCUCAGGACAGUGCUGACACACCAGCCUCCUGCUCCCUCAGCCCCCUCUGGAUUUUGGGUGCCAACGAGCAUGGGAGGGAAGCUGAGGCAGGGGAUGAGGGCAGUUCAGCACUGGCCUGCAGGCACCCCUUGGGACAAACAGGCUGGACACCAGGAACAGCAGGGGGAGGCAGACAGGUUCCUGGGCAGAAGGGAUUGGGUCCCUGGUGAAGCCCCACCUUCAGCCUGGGAAAGUCCUAAAGCCUGGGAGCCAGGCUGCCAGUCCUGCUGACCAGAGGGGGAAGGCAGGGUGCUUUACCCUGGGCCCACCUAUGGCUGCCCAUUGACCAGUCAGCAUGCACUCCCCCACCUCUGAAGACCAUAAAAACCCCGGACUCAGCCAGAGCAGAGCAGACUUCUGGAUGACCAGCUGCAAAGAGGAGCUAGCCUCUCCAGGGCAUCCUCUCCGCUGAGAGCAGCAGACAUCCAGACAACCAGCUGCAGAGAGGAGCUAGGGCCUGCUCUCAGCAGACAGAAACUACCCUCUCUGCUGAAAGCUGAACACUCAUUGGGACAACUUGCCUGCAGAGAGGAGCCACUCACUCCAAGCCUUUGCUGAGAGCUGCAGAGGUGAUGGGAUGACCUGCUUGCAGAGAGGAGCUACCCAUUACUGGUUUCCUCUCAGCUGUUCUACCACUCAAUAAAGCUCCUCUUCAACUUGCUCACU